rnacentral:rRNA from 1 species
GACGAACGCUGGCGGCGUGCUUAACACAUGCAAGUCGAGCGGUAAGGCCCUUUCGGGGGGUACACGAGCGGCGAACGGGUGAGUAACACGUGGGUGGCCUGCCCUCAGCUCUGGGAUAAGCCUGGGAAACCGGGUCUAAUACUGGAUAUGACUCCAUGACGCAUGUUGUGGGGUGGAAAGCCUUGUGCGGCUGAGGAUGGGCCCGCGGCCUAUCAGCUUGUUGGUGGGGGAUGGCCUACCAAGGCGACGACGGGUAGCCGGCCUGAGAGGGCGACCGGCCACACUGGGACUGAGACACGGCCCAGACUCCUACGGGAGGCAGCAGUGGGGAAUCUUGCGCAAUGGCCUAACGGCUGACGCAGCGACGCCGCGUGUGGGAUGAAGCUCUUCGGAGUGUAAACC